rnacentral:ncRNA from 1 species
CCGCAAGCUACGACUGAAAGUGGGGUCACGAUUGCAUCGAAUUGUGCAAAGUCAAAAUUUGCGGCUAGUUACGAU